rnacentral:rRNA from 1 species
GGGGAAUAUUGCACAAUGGGCGCAAGCCUGAUGCAGCGACGCCGCGUGGGGGAUGAAGGCCUUCGGGUUGUAAACUCCUUUCGCUAGGGACGAAGCUUUGUGUGACGGUACCUAGAUAAGAAGCACCGGCUAACUACGUGCCAGCAGCCGCGGUAAUACGUAGGGUGCGAACGUUGUCCGGAAUUACUGGGCGUAAAGGGCUCGUAGGUGGUUUGUCGCGUCGUCUGUGAAAUUCUGGGGCUUAACUCCGGGCGUGCAGGCGAUACGGGCAUAACUUGAGUGCUGUAGGGGUAACUGGAAUUCCUGGUGUAGCGGUGAAAUGCGCAGAUAUCAGGAGGAACACCGAUGGCGAAGGCAGGUUACUGGGCAGUUACUGACGCUGAGGAGCGAAAGCAUGGGUAGCGAACAGGAUUAGAUACCCUGGUAGUCCAUGCCGUAAACGGUGGGCGCUAGGUGUGAGGGUCUUUCUACGACUUUCGUGCCGUAGCUAACGCAUUAAGCGCCCCGCCUGGGGAGUACGGCCGCAAGGCUA